GACUUAGAGGAAUUGCAACAUACAUCUUCAUAUUUAGAAAUGUUUUUCCUAUCCACAUUUUACAAAGACAUAUAUGCAUGGUGACUGCCUCUGCGACUUUGGAAGUACAGUCUGUGAACAAGGAGAAGCGAAACAUGUUGGCAAAGCUGGUCAUUUUCCUUGUGGAUCUCAUGCUUGUUUUGGCCAUUUCUGUCACCUUAUAUGCUGUUUACUUACUAGCAACCGUGGGUAUUUUUAUCUCAGUUGUUUUCUAUAUUCUCAGAGGGGAGAUGGAAAAAAGCUAUCUCUUCAACAAGAACAGAGUCUGGUUGCUGCAUUCUAGCAAAGCUGGUGAGAAGCCAUUUGCAGGCAACAUAGAGAAAGUGAGCACCAGGAUGCUUCCCGUCCACUGUCCAGCUGUAAGAGAAGGGGCCUCGCUGUGCCAGUGGAACACUCCUGCCUCCCAAAGAGCAAGGAAGUCGCUGCCAUGGAAGAGACACUCGAGAAGACUUGCAAAAAUGCCACACCCACCUAACCAAGAAACACAUUUUUAAGUUCUUUCUAGGUCAUUCAAACUGCCAUCCACACAUGAAGAACAAUGAGAGUUUCAUAAACAAGCAGAAAUACCCAGGAGGCACGAAGAGUCAUAAUAUUUCGAUGCAUUAGGUUAUCACAGCCUCAGGAAAUACAUCCCAUAACUCUGAAGUCUCAACCUUGGAGAGAAUAAGCAUUCUAUUCAAUGGCAGAAAACUAAAACUUGUUGAAAUGCCUUAGGUGCUGGAAAGAUCUACAUCCAUCAAAAUGUUCUGAAGAAUUAAAUUGAAAAAUUUUUCUUCAAUGUGCCUUAGCCAAGCAAAUGCACACAUUUUGCUGUUGUGGCAAAAACCAGACAUUGCCUUUGCUGGUAGCAGCAUGGCCCAAGAGAAGCUUCCUUUACUACCCAACGAAAACUCAAGUGAAGUCCAUGCUUCAUACCAGAUGUGGUUUCUCUAUCCACCAUAACUGGGACUACCUUCAGCCCUCAGCGUUCCUGGGUUCUACAUCUAUGGAUUCAACAUUGCAUAGAUAGGAAACAUGAGAAAAAUAAAGAGUAACUAUACAACAAUUUUAGAAAGUAUAAAUUUCAGACCCAGGUAUUUGGUGCAGCUGUUAAGAUGCUGCUUGGGAUGCUCACACUCCAUAAGGGAGUACCCAGGUUUGAGUCCAGACACUACUUCCAAUUCCACCUUCCUGCUAAUGCAACCAGGGAGGCAGCAGUGAUGGCUCAGGUACUUAGGUCCUUGCUACCCAUAUGGGAGACCCCAGUGGAGUUCCUGGCAUAGGCUUGGCCUAGCCCGGGCUGUUCUGGGAAUUUAGAGUGAGACAGCAAAUGUGAGUACUCUCUCUCUUUCUCUUUUUCAAAUAAAAUGAAAAUAAACAAGUAGUUUUUGAAAACCCCGAGUUUAACACACACUGCACAACUAUUUAUAUGACAUUUGCAUUGUAUUAAAGGUAAAUGAGAGAUGAUUCAAAGAAUAUGGAGGACAGGAGGUUGUUACAUGCAAAUACUCCAUUUGUUUAAGGGACAUGAGCAUCCUCAGAUUCUGGUAUCUGUGGGAGUUCUAGAGCUAAUCCCCCAAACAUGUUAAGGAAUGAUUGUACUUUGUCACAUCUGUCACUUUCUGUAUUUUACUUGCUUUGGUUAUUUGUAAAGUUUUUCCUAUUUUGACAUUAGAUUAUCCUUAAACUUUAGCAACUGCAUUUUAGCCACUCUAUAUUCACAUUUCUGGCUACCUAAGUGCCAUGAAUAUUAAUAAGCAUUUUUUCAAAUCAAUAAAUCCCUAGAGUCUAUAAUCACAGUUGGAAAUACCAUACAUUCCAAAGAAAUUGAAAAUUAAUGCAAGAAGAUUACCCAUUGAGUAAUGGAAAAGGAAUGGAAAAAUUUAACAAUGCCUACAAGUUGGAGUUACAAAUAUUUGUUCAUACUUUAUAAGUGGCUUAUAUCUUCAGAGCAGUUUUUCAACAGGAAAACUGUCUCACUUUUUAAAUGAUUUCUAGAAAAUUUAACUGGCAGAAAAUUACACAUAUUAAUGAGAUACUAUCUGAUGUUUCAAUACACGCAUACAUGUAAUGUCCAAUCAGAGUGAACAUGUCUAUAUCAUCACACGUUUAACAUUUCUUUACUGUCAUUUUUUAAUGUUUACCCUUUCAUGCAUUUUAAGCCAUGAUAGGAUCAUAUUGGCCUGAGGAAACCCCUGAAGAACCAUUGGGAAUGGAGGAAUGAGUAUCUGGGCCUUUCAAUUCCCUAGAAAGCUGAAUUGGACACAAGACUGUGCAUACAAAGCUUUUUGGACAGUUCCAUCCCAAGCAACUGGAGCAAGUACUGGAAAGAGUACAGUCAAGAAGCUGUGUUUUCAUGUUCAACAAAACCAUUCACAAGUGAAACCCAGUCUUGAAGAUGGCACUCUAAGAAGCUGCCGAGGAUACACCUCAAUCUUGUCUGUUGGGAGCCAUGAGAAGAGAAAUGAUCCAUCAUCUUUAUUCUUCCAUUGGUCAAGAGUUAUCCAUUUAUGACCUUGCACUUGGGGGAUCGCCCAAGCUUCUAAAUGGCUGAGUGGUUUGCAUGUGUCACCUAAAGAGAGGGCAAUGGAGAAGCUCCAGGAAAGAAGGCAAAUGACAGUUCCCAUAGCUAAUGAAAGUGCUGUCAGUGACUCAUUCAAAAAGUAGUUUGCUGUAGAAAGGUGGGCCAAGAGGAUGUGAGCUGUGGCACAAGAGGGGCCUUACACCAGUUCUCAGAAUCGUUGAGUCCGAUGCAAAUCUGUGUACCCUGGAAUAAAGAGCAAAAGACCAUUCCUACCACUUCAGGGCAAUAACUAGAGAAAGGAUCAUCUAGACCGAGGGUCACCCAGAGAGGAAAUGGUCUGGAGAACUAGUUGAGGAGAGGAGGAAGCCAGGGGGACAUUACCCUUUCCUACAACCAAAUGCUACCUUUCUGUGCUUCAAACACAGGCCAACAUCUGGGAUGAGGGGAGAAUUUUCUUUUUCCUCCAUGCACAUUUCUGGUAUUUUGUUGCUACUUAUUUUAACUUGCCAGCUCUGACAGAGUAAUUCCAUCUGCCAGCCACUGUUUUUUUAUCUACACAAAUUAAGUUAUUUUAGUGCUUUAGGUGCUCUGUGUUUUGUGCAUCUUAAGUAGGGCUCUCAGUUGCUAUGUUCAUAAUCUGCUUUUGUUUUGGCUCCUCCCAAAUCUGACCCUGAAGCAAGGAUGUUGGUACAAGUAGUGUAUUUGAGAGAUGAUCCCAGGCAACACAGCAAAGGAGUAGGGUGUGAAGUGGGGAAGGGAAGGCAUCAGUUGAAAACUGUGUGUGCACAAGUGUGCUACCAUGGUUCAAUAUUUUUAAGAGUGUGGCCGACUGUCUGAUAAUGAAGCUGCAAUGUUUAUGUACCUGCUUCAGCUCCUUGUAGGCUGAAGGUUGCUGCUAGGAGCAUUCAACUUAUAAUAUUUCUAGGCUGCCCUGCUUGUUGGCAAGCAAACUCCUUUAGUGCCAGGAAAUCCUGCCCAGGCAGAUAAGCAGGGAGGUGUGAAUAGUUGAGAUGGGAAGGGCUAGUUAUGUUCUACAGAUGCAGGAAAUCUGUAAGUUGGCUGAAUGGAUAUAGACAAGGGCAUCAAUAGCUUCUACUAUAUGAGGGUGCUUUGGAAAGUUUUUGGCACUUUGGAAUUAAAAGAUAUGUUUAUUUUGGCACAAAAAAUUUUGAGUUUCAUCCAUAGCUUUGUUUUCUUAAGAUGCAUUUUUAAUGAACUUUUCGAAGACCCUUCAUACAGUCUGAGUUUAUUUUGCAAAAGUAAAUUCUCAUAAGGAGAAAAACAAUAGCAAAAUCUUUCUUCUGGUAUCAAAAAAGAAAGAAGAAAACUUAACUACCAAAAGGUUAGAAGCAAUUUGAAUUAGCUUUUAAAGUGAGAUUGUUAGUGUUUGCAUACAAAAAUGUUCAAAUUGGCAUUAGAUCCCCUUAAUGAAAAACUCCUUCACUGGUGCCUUAGAACAAUGUAAAAGAAACCAACCUGUUUAUGGUUCUGGCAAUCUAACUAUGUUAAAUAACAACUGCUCAGCUCUGAUCCUACAAUGGACACAUGAAGACAACUGGGAAUCGAUUUACUUUCUCAUUCCAGUCACUAUUCUCAUGUGUGACCAGAGGGAAGCCACUCAAAGAUAAGUAUUUUCUGAUGUAAAAGCCAAAGGACAAUGCUGUGAUUUCACCAGGGAUGGAACUGGACAGAGCACAGAAAAGCUGGAAGGGAAAUGGUCUCAGUGGUAUCACAAACUAAAGAAUCCAUCUCCAGUCAUUCAUUUCCUUUUAAUAACAUUGCCAGGUCCUCACAGUGUGUU